UGCGAGUCACAUAGCAAUAUGUGGCAUACGGCUCAGUAACACGUAGUCAACAUGCCCAGGGGACGUGGAUAACCUCGGGAAACUGAGGAUAAACCGCGAUAGGUCAUUUCUUCUGGAAUGGGUAAUGACCCAAAUCUACAUGGCCCCUGGAUUGGACUGCGGCCGAUCAGGCUGUUGGUGAGGUAAUGGCCCACCAAACCUGUAACCGGUACGGGCUCUGAGAGGAGGAGCCCGGAGAUGGGCACUGAGACAAGGGCCCAGGCCCUAUGGGGCGCAGCAGGCGCGAAACCUCUGCAAUAGGCGAAAGCUUGACAGGGUUACUCUGAGUGAUUUCCGUUAAGGAGAUCUUUUGGCACCUCUAAAAAUGGUGCAGAAUAAGGGGUGGGCAAGUCUGGUGUCAGCCGCCGCGGUAAUACCAGCACCCCGAGUGGUCGGGACGUUUAUUGGGCCUAAAGCAUCCGUAGCCGGUUCUACAAGUCUUCCGUUAAAUCCACCUGCUUAACAGAUGGGCUGCGGAAGAUACUAUAGAGCUAGGAGGCGGGAGAGGCAAGCGGUACUCGAUGGGUAGGGGUAAAAUCCGUUGAUCCAUUGAAGACCACCAGUGGCGAAGGCGGCUUGCCAGAACGCGCUCGACGGUGAGGGAUGAAAGCUGGGGGAGCAAACCGGAUUAGAUACCCGGGUAGUCCCAGCUGUAAACGAUGCAGACUCGGUGAUGAGUUGGCUUAUUGCUAACUCAGUGCCGCAGGGAAGCCGUUAAGUUUGCCGCCUGGGGAGUACGGUCGCAAGACUGAAACUUAA
rnacentral:rRNA from 1 species